AUGGUACAGAGGGUAGAAAUGCAUUCUCUAAUGUUGGGAUGUUGAGUGCCUAAGGAGACAGACUGACUGACUGACUUGUGUUUAGAAGAUUUACAACACAGAGAGCUGAAGAAAAUGAAAGGUCAGCUGUCUCCAAUCCAAGGUUGUCACUCACCAGGAGUGGGUAAUCCCAAGGACAGCAGGACCUGCUUCAUCACUUGCAUUUUGGAGUAAGAAACCCUUCAGACCACUGUAGGUAACUGCCACAGAAAGCAAAAGCAUGGACAAGGGGGAUCUUGAAAUACUCAAGAACAUGUCCCAUUGGCCAUCAGUCACACAUCCAAUGGCAUCACCGCACAUCAUAUAACCUCUGAAAUGUCCUCUGUAAGGGAGAAAUCGAGAAAGAGACCCAUCUCAGCCUACAGCAGAAAGUCACCUGCUUUUCCCUCUAAAGUCUAACAGAGGGGCUCCCAUAUACAGGUAUUCCACAGAGACUCAUCCUGCAAGGCCAACAAGCCUGUUUUCCCUGGCUCAUGGGUGCUGUGGGAUGCUGUGACUUGAUCCCAUUUCAGGAUGACAGCUGAAGUGACUACAGACCAAGAGGGUCCUGAGCUUUUAUGAGAACCUGAGAACCUCUGAUAUUCAGGAGGGACAGGCCCGGAGGCCAUGGACCUCUCUGGUCAGCUGUGUGAGCUCCCAAGACUGAUGUAAACACAGCUCUCCCCUGCAGUGCCCCCAGGAGAAUAACACCCAGAGCCUGUAAAGGACUGGGCCUUUACAGGACUGCUUUCUGCUCUGCUGCAUGCCACCCUCACUCGCAGGCAAAGUGAUUCUUUUCAUCUGUGAGAAAGAGAAAAUGAACAGGAAAGGCACUUAGCAUUGCUACAUGGCAGUUGUUCAAAAAUCUGCUUCCAAGGAGCUUGUUUGUGCAGUAUUGUUUGCCCUGAACUCCAUUGCAAAGACAAAUUAGAGGUCUGCAUCACUUCGAAAUGAGCUUCAGAAACAAAACUGGGUUGGAACAAAUUCUAGGAGAUGUGAUGCUCACAUUUUCAAUGAAAAGAAAUUCUGGAGCCAUGGACCAUUGUUGAGCAGGAGAGGGAAUCACUCUGCAUUUCUGUAAAGGUGGUUAACCCGCAGGCAGAAACAACUGCUCAGGACAUUUUUUGCAAAUUUACAUUUAUGUUUGUUGAUUCCAUAUUAAACUGAACAACCAGGCGCGUGGAAGGUAAAGCCCUCUUUUAAUUAACCCUCUUGGUGUGGGCCCAUGUGAUUAAAGAUGACGGAGCUGCUCCUGGGG